GUGAAGGUUAUUCGAGGGGCUUAAAAGGUUUUGUUUUGGUUCAUGGCCUAAUUUUAGCUUUCCGUCUUUCUGAAAAGUUAAGAUUUCUUCCCUUCUGAAUAAGUGGGAUGUUAUUAUAAUGAAAUGCACAAGUUCCUUUAGAACAUGCUAUGGCAAGCUAUCCAAGUUAGAGCUGUUGCUGAGGGAACCAGGCAAAGCUUGCUUAAUGUAUAAACCUGGUUAUUAUAUUUAAAAUUCAAGCAGCAGCCAGAGAUUCCUAUCGGGAGAGGGAAGACUUUACUUUUGAAGAGGAAAAGUACUUAACUCCUAGAGGAAAGCGUCAUUCCUGAGGUUUACCCUCAUGGUCUGGAGACAAACACGUGGGACUUUUCUUUUUUGUGUGUGUUUCUAAUAGUGGAAGAAAAGGAAAGCCAGGCUAAGCAGAGAAAAGUGGAAGAGGAGACACAGCAGCUCAUUCUUUCCCAGUAGCCGUUAGACUGAUUGCGGAGGGGAAGGUCAAAAGAGAAGUUCACAACUAUGAUACCAGCUCUAGAGGCGAAAGAACAACUGAGAGAGAACUAUCCAAGAAGUGUUUGGAUCCCGAAGCACAAAGGUAGACUUACAAAGGAUGAAAUUGAUCUCUACUACUAAGUGGAUCCAUCUUCAAGAGAGGGCGUUCAGAACACCCGGAAAGAUAAGAAAGCAUACUACAAGAUGACAGCCACCUACAAGCCAGGAAGAGGCCUCAGAAUUAAACCCACUUUACCAGCACCUUAAUCUUGGACAUCCCAACCUCCCAGCUGACUAUGACAGGUGUCACUGUUAAAAGAAACAUGCUGACGUACUUAGAGGUGAAGGAUCAUGAUAUCUAGAACUUAUUUUCAAGUGACUGGGAAAAAAAUAAAGGAAAAAAAUUUAACCAUUUGUCAUUGUUACAGGUAAGACUGUGUGCUCCCCAAAACUUGUAUGUUGAAGCCCUAACUUCAUGUGACUGUAUUUGGAGACAGAACCUUUAAGGAGGUUGGGGUUAACUGAGGUCAUAAAGAUGGGGCCCUAAUCCAGUGACUGGUGCCCUUAUAAGAAGAGGGAGAGACACCAGGUGUGUGUGCAGAGAAAGGGCCAUGUGAGGAUACAGUGAGAAGGCAGCCAUCUGCAAAGCCAAGGAGACAGGCUUCAGGAGAAACCAAACCUGCCCACACCUUGACUCUGGAUUUCCAGCCUCCAGAACUGUCAGAAAAUAAGCUUCUGGUUUUAAAGCCACCCAGUCUGUGUGCUAUUUUGUAAUGGCAGCCCUAGAAGACUAAUCUACUGCAUAACAAGUUACCUCAAAUGUAGGAGCUUAAAAUAAGAUUAUCUCACAUGAUUUCUUUUUCUUUUUUGAGAUGCAGUCUCCCUCUGUUGCCUAGGCUGGAGUGCAG
rnacentral:lncRNA from 1 species